ACUCUAAUAGUUUAUAAAAACAUCGG
rnacentral:tRNA from 3 species